GACGUAGGGCGCGAGCGUUGUCCGGAUUUAUUGGGCGUAAAGAGCUCGUAGGCGGCUUGUCGCGUCGACUGUGAAAUCCCGAGGCUCAACUUCGGGCUUGCAGUCGAUACGGGCAGGCUAGAGUUCGGUAGGGGAGACUGGAAUUCCUGGUGUAGCGGUGAAAUGCGCAGAUAUCAGGAGGAACACCGAUGGCGAAGGCAGGACUCUGGGCCACUACUGACGCUGAGAAGCGAAAGCAUGGGGAGCGAACAGG
rnacentral:rRNA from 1 species